rnacentral:rRNA from 1 species
UAGGGAAUCUUCGGCAAUGGGGGGAACCCUGACCGAGCAACGCCGCGUGUGUGAAGAAGGUUUUCGGAUCGUAAAGCUCUGUUGUUAAGGAAGAACGAGUGUGAGAAUGGAAAGUUCAUACUGUGACGGUACUUAACCAGAAAGGGACGGCUAACUACGUGCCAGCAGCCGCGGUAAUACGUAGGUCUCGAGCGUUGUCCGGAUUUAUUGGGCGUAAAGCGAGCGCAGGCGGUUAGAUAAGUCUGAAGUUAAAGGCAGUGGCUCAACCAUUGUAGGCUUUGGAAACUGUUUAACUUGAGUGCAGAAGGGGAGAGUGGAAUUCCAUGUGUAGCGGUGAAAUGCGUAGAUAUAUGGAGGAACACCGGUGGCGAAAGCGGCUCUCUGGUCUGUAACUGACGCUGAGGCUCGAAAGCGUGGGGAGCGAACAGG